AACCCUAUAGCUAGCCCCCAACCUAAAAAAAUAUAAAUAUAUAUCUUUCCAACCCCACCUCAUCAAAAACAUUUUUCCUC
rnacentral:rRNA from 1 species